rnacentral:piRNA from 1 species
CAUUUCAGCUAAACACUCCUUCA